rnacentral:rRNA from 1 species
GACGAACGCUGGCGGUGUGCUUCACACAUGCAAGUCGAACGAGGUAGCAAUACCUAGUGGCGGACGGGUGAGUAACGCGUGGGAAUCUGCCUUUAGAUGGGGGAUAACGGGUCGAAAGACUCGCUAAUACCGCAUAUGACGAAAGUUGAAAGGAGUAAUCCGUCUAAAGAUGAGCCCGCGUCCGAUUAGCUAGUUGGUAGAGUAAAAGCCUACCAAGGCGACGAUCGGUAGCUGGUCUGAGAGGAUGAUCAGCCACAAUGGGACUGAGACACGGCCCGAUACUCCUACGGGAGGCAGCAGUGGGAAUUUUACGCAAUGGCGAAAGCCUGACGUAGCGACACCGCGUGAGCGAAGAAGCCCUUGGGUGUAAAGCUCUGUCAGCUGGAACGAAAAAUGACGGUACCAGCAGAGAGCAUCGGCUAACUACGUGCCAGCAGCCGCGGU